UAGUGAUUAACGCGAAGAACCUUACCUGGGUUUGACAUGUAGGGAAAAGCCGUAGAGAUACGGUGUCCGUAAGGGCCCUGUACAGGUGGUGCAUGGCUGUCGUCAGCUCGUGUCGUGAGAUGUUGGGUUAAGUCCCGCAACGAGCGCAGCCCUUGCCUGUAGUUGCCAGCGGGUUAUGCCGGGAACUCUACAGGGACUGCCCCGGAAAACGGGGAGGAAGGUGGGGAUGACGUCAAGUCCUCAUGGCCUUUAUGUCCAGGGCUACACACGUGCUACAAUGGCCGGUACAAAGGGGUGCAAUACCGCGAGGUGGAGCGAAUCCCAAAAAGCCGGUCUCAGUUCGGAUUGUAGUCUGCAACUCGACUACAUGAAGUCGGAAUCGCUAGUAAUGGCGGAUCAGCAUGCCGCCGUGAAUACGUUCCCGGGCCUUGUCACACCCGAAUCGAAUUCC
rnacentral:rRNA from 1 species